AUUCAGGGGGCAGUAACCCAACAAUGGGCUAUCCAAUUCAUCUGAAAAUUUGUGGUCAGAUAGAUCUUGACCUGAUAAACAAUUUCACCUCAGUCAGAUUUGCUCUAAAUGCUUUAGUUUCAGAGAUAUAAGCCAAAAUCUACAUUUACCCCUUUGUUCUUUUUUUAGCCAUGGCGGCCAUCUUGGUUGGUUGGCCGGGUCACCAGACACAUUUUUGAAACUAAAUACUCCAAUGAUGAUUGUGGCCAAAUUUGGUUAAAUUUGGUCCAAUAGUUUCAGAGGAGAAGAUUUGGGCCAGGUGAGCUAAAAAGGGUGGAAAAGUGAUUUUUAGAGAAACUAAAUUCUGUGUUAUUUGGUCUCUUGUGGAGAGUUGUCUCAUUAGCAAUCAUACCACAUCUUCCUUUUUACAUUGAUCUGUAACUUGUCAUUAUAAAACAAUGAACCAAAUAUCUAAUCAAUCCUCAAGCACCAAAAACUAGAGGCUCUAAAGAGCCUGUGUCGCUCACCUUGGUAUAUGUGAAUAUUAAACAAAGGAAGCAGAUGGAUUCAUGACAAAAUUGUGUUUUGGUGAUGGUGAUGUGUUUGUACAUCUUACUUUACUGAACAUUCUUGCUGCUUACAAUUAUCUCUAUCUAAAAUGAUCUUGGCAAAGUAGUUUCAGUGGAAAAUGUUAGUAAAAAUUUACAAAUUUUAUGAAAAUUGUUAAAAAUUGACUAUAAAGGACAAUAACUCCUUAGGGGGUAAUUGACCAUUUUGGUCAUGUUUACUUAUUUUUAGGUCUUACUUUGCUGUACAUUAUUGCUGUUUACAGUUUAUCUCUAUCUAUAAUAAUAUUCAAGAUAAUAACCAAAAACGGCAAAAUUUCCUUAAAAUUACCAAUUUAGGGGCAGCAACCCAACAACCGGUUGUCGGGUCAAUCUGAAAAUUUCAGGGCAGAUAGAUCUUGACAUGAUAAACAAUUUAACUCAGUCAGAUUUGCUCUAAAUGCUUUGAUUUUUGAGUUAUAAGCCAAAAACUGCAUUUUACCCCUAUGUUCUAUAUUUAGCUGUGGCGGCCAUCUUGGUUGGAUGGCCGGGUCACCGGACACAUUUUUUAAACUACAUACCCCAAAGAUGAUUGUGGCCAAGUUUGGAUUAAUUUAGCCGAGUAGUUUCAGAGGAGAAGAUUUUUGUAAAAGAUGACUAAGAUUUACGAAAAAGGGUUAAAAAUUGACUAUAAAGGAAAAUAACUCCUUAAGGGGUCAACUGACCAUUUCGGUCAUGUUGACUUAUAUGUAGAUCUUACUUUGCUGAACAUUAUUGCUGCUUACAGUUUAUCUCUAUCUAUAAUAAUAUUCAAGAUAAUAACCAAAAACAGCAAAAUUUCCAUUAAAAUUACCAAUUCAGGGGCAGCAACCCAACAACGGGUUGUCCGAUUCAUCUGAAAAUUUCAAGGCAGAUAGAUCUUAACCUGAUAAACAAUUUUACCCCCAUGUCAGAUUUGCUCUAAAUGCUUUGGUUUUUGAGUUAUAAGCCAAAAACUGCAUUUUACCCCUAUGUUCUAUUUUUAGCCAUGGCGGCCAUCUUGAUUGGUUGGCCGGGUCACCGAACACAUUUUUUAAACUAGAUACCCCAAUGAUGAUUGUGACCAAGUUUGAUUAAAUUUGGCCCUGUAGUUUUAGAGGAGAAGAUUUUUGUAAAA
rnacentral:lncRNA from 1 species